rnacentral:rRNA from 1 species
AGAGUUUGAUCAUGGCUCAGAACGAACGCUGGCGGCAUGCCUAACACAUGCAAGUCGAACGGGAUCCUGACUUCGGUCAGGUGAGAGUGGCGGACGGGUGAGUAACACGUGGGAAUCUGCCUUUUGGUUCGGGAUAACCGCGGGAAACUGCGGCUAAUACCGGAUGUACCCGUGAGGGGAAAGAUUUAUCGCCAGAAGAGGAGCCCGCGUCCGAUUAGGUAGUUGGUGGGGUAAUGGCCUACCAAGCCAACGAUCGGUAGCUGGUCUGAGAGGAUGAUCAGCCACACUGGGACUGAGAUACGGCCCAGACUCCUACGGGAGGCAGCAGUGGGGAAUAUUGGACAAUGGGGGCAACCCUGAUCCAGCAAUGCCGCGUGAGUGAUGAAGGCCUUAGGGUUGUAAAGCUCUUUUGCCAGGGAAGAUGAUGACUGUACCUGAGAAUAG